rnacentral:rRNA from 1 species
AGUAACGCGUGAGAAUCUAGCUUCAGGUCGGGGACAACCCCUGGAAACGGUGGCUAAUACCGGAUGUGCCGAAAGGUGAAAGAUUUAUUGCCUGAAGAUGAGCUCGCGUCUGAUUACCUAGUUGGUGUGGUAAGAGCGCACCAAGGCGACGAUCAGUAGCUGGUCUGAGAGGAUGAUCAGCCACACUGGGACUGAGACACGGCCCACACUCCUACGGGAGGUAGCAGUGGGGAAUUUUCC